CUUAGAGGUUAAGCCCGAUGAACCUGAAUAUCCAUUAUGAAAAAUUCAUCAUUAUAACUAUAAUAUUAAUUUAUUAAUAUUUAUAUGUGAUAGUGUGCAUUUUUUUCAUAUAAGGACAUUGUGAUCUAUUAACAUAUAAAAGUGUAUUUAUCAAAAGAUCAUUAGCUUUUAAGUUUAUUUUAAUUAAUUUGCUUUUUUAGCUUAUUAACAUAAAAUAAAUGCAAAUGAUUUGAUAAAGUGUUAAUAGAUUUAUGUUAUAUAAUGCUUAAAUCUUUCCAAAAUAAAGAUUUUACAAUAAUAUUAAAAUCUAUGAUUUUAUAUAUUUAUUGUAUGCAUU
rnacentral:rRNA from 1 species